UCAGAAGUUAUAAAUACAUUAAAAUUUUGACUAGAAAUAAGGUUUGCGUUAUGGUAUUUUUAUAACUAUAUUUUUCUUGGCCUCACUCCUCUUCUUGCUGCCAAGGCUUUUGCUUCUUCCUUCCUCAUUUUACUUCAUAAUUUAUUAACUUUGCUUAAUUUCAAUUUUAGUGUUAUGGUACACACGGUACUCCUUUGAAUUUCAUCAUGAAACCAAAACUAGCAUUUGAAGCUUUGAAAAAUUCUAUAAAAUAUAAAGGAAUAAAAUGUUAAACAGGUUCAAAUAAUGUGGCAAUGACUUAAUAAUUUAAACUAUCGAAAUUAUAAUCAAUAUAUAAGUAUAAAUGGUAUUAAUAAUAAUAUUAUAGAGGAGCUUAAAUAUUUCUCUCGUGAUUAAAAUAAAGUCUUUAAAUUGUAUUAGGAAAUAGUUUUAUAAUUGUAUAUAAUCAUUAAAUUACUAUAAACUGUUAUUAUUAUUAGAUAUUUUUCCCACCAUUGUAAAUAUAAUGUUUGUCAAUAAUUUUAAAUAUUAUAAUACUAAAAUCAUAUUAAACAUAAUGUCUUCUGUCUUAAAACGU